rnacentral:lncRNA from 1 species
CAGCAGGAAGAAACCCCAGGAGGAAGAAACCUCAGACAGAUCGCCGGGGAGGCAGCGCGGGAUCCCAGCCUCAGGCGUGCGCGGACGGUGUGCGGAGUCUAGCUUUGUACCAGGCUGCAGUGCAGUAGUGCCAUCUCAGCUCACUGCAACCUCUGCCUCCUGGGUUCAAGCGAUUGUCCUGCCUCAGCCUCCCGAGUAGCUGGGAUUACAGGCACAUGCCACCACACCCAGCUAAUGUUUGUAUUUUUAGUAGAUACGGGGUUUCAUCAUGUUGCCCAGGAUGGUCUUAAUUUCCUGACCUCGUGAUCCGCCCAUCUCGGCCUCCCAAAAUGCUGGGAUUACAGGCAUGAGCCACCAGAACCGGACAUGCUUUCCUUAAAAGCUAAAUAUUUUAGGCUUGUGUGCCAUUAGGCUCUGUUACAACUACUUAAUUCUGCUUUUGUAAUUCUAUAGCACCCAUUGAUAAUACAUAAACAAAUGAGCAUGAAUGUGUCUCAGUAAAAAUUUGUUCACAUAAACAGGCAGUCCACCCAUGAAGCUAUAGCUUGCUGACCCCUUGUUUAAACAAUCAAUUGAAUUCAAACAGAAAUAAAAGGAUCUUAUAUAUUUAACCAUGUUGA